rnacentral:rRNA from 1 species
AGAGUUUGAUCCUGGCUCAGAAGGAACACUAGCUAUAUGCUUAACACAUGCAAGUCAAACAUUGUUUUCGGGGAGCUGGGCAGAAGGAAAAGAGGCUUCUAGCUAAAGGUAUCUUGUCUCGCCCAGGAGGUGAGAUGAGUUGAGAACAAAGUGGCGAACGGGUGCGUAACGCGUGGGAAUCUGCCGAACAGUUUGGGCCAAAUCCUAAAGAAAGCUAAAAAGCACUAUUUGAUGAGCCUGCGUAGUAUUAGGUAGUUGGUCAGGUAAAGGCUGACCAAGCCAAUGAUGCUUAGCUGGUCUUUUCAGAUGAUCAGCCACACUGGGACUGAGACACUGCCCGGACUCCCAUGGGGGGCAGCAAUGGGGAAUCUUGGACAAUGGGCGAAAGCCCGAUCCAGCAAUAUCGCGUGAGUGAAGAAGGGCAAUGCCGCUUGUAAAGCUCUUUUGUCGAGUGCGCGAUCAUGACAGGACUCGAGGAAGAAGCCCCGGCUAACUCCGUGCCAACAGCCGCGGUAAGAUGGGGGGCAAGUGUUUUUCGAAAUGACUGGGCGUAAAGGGCACGUAGGCGGUGAAUCGGGUUGAAAGUGAAAGCCGCCAAAAACUGGCGGAAUGCUAUCGAAACCAAUUCACUUGAGUGAGACAGAGGAGAGUGGAAUUUCGUGUGCAGGGGUGAAAUUCGGAGAUCUACGAAGGAAGGCCAAAAGCGAACGCAUCUCUCUGGGUCCCUACCGACGCUGAGGUGCGAAAGCAUGGGGAGCGAACAGGAUUAGAUACCCUGGUAGUCCAUGCCGUAAAUGAUAAGUGUUCACCCUUGGUCUACGAGGAUCAGGGGCCCAGCUAACACGUGAAACACUCCGCCUGGGGAGUACGGUCGCAAGAGCGAAACUCAAAGGAAUUGACGGGGGCAUGCACAAGCGGUGGAGCAUGUGGUUUAAUUCGAUACAACGCACAAAACAUUACCAGCCCUUGACAUAUGAACAAGAAAUCUGUCCUUAACGGGAUGGUACUGACUUUCAUACAGGUGGUGCAUGGCUGUCGUCAGCUCGUGUCGUGAGAUGUUUGGUCAAGUCCUAUAACGAGAGAAACCCUUGUUUUGUGUUGCUGAGACAUGCGCCUAAGGAGAAAGUCUUUGCAACCGAAGUGAGCUGAGCAGCCGAGUGACGUGCCAGUNCGAGUGACGUGCCAGCGCUACUAAUUGAGUGCCAGCACCUAGCUGUGCUGUCAGUAAGAAGGUAGCCGGCGCCUUUCGAAGCACUUUCUAUUUCUAGAUAGAAAGGGCCUUUCUCGCUUGUUUAGUAAAGUCAAGUUUUUGUCCUUAUCUUGCAGGUGACGACGCCGUCAAGUUGACGGCAGAGAAAGACUUCGCAUUCAGACGAGCCACCCGGUGGUAUGGUACGUAGUGGGUUUAGUACGCCCCCGCCCAAACAAACGGCUCCGAAACAAACAAAAAGGUGCGUGUCGCACUCACGAAGGACUGCUAGUGAUACUCUGGAGGAAGGUGGGGAUGACGUCAAGUCCGCAUGGCCCUUAUGGGCUGGGCCACACACAUGCUAUAAUGGCAAUUACAAUGGGAAGCAAGGCUGUAAGGCGGAGCGAAUCCGGAAAGAUUGCCUCAGUUCGGAUUGUUCUCUGCAACUCGGGAACAUGAAGUUGGAAUCGCUAGUAAUCGCGGAUCAGCAUGCCGCGGUGAAUAUGUACCCGGGCCCUAUACACACCGCCCGUCACACCUUGGGAAUUGGUUUCGCCCGAAGCAUCGGAUCAAUGAUCACCCAUGACUUCUGUGGCACACUAGUGCCACAAAGGCCUUUGGUGGUCCUAUUGGCGCAUACCACGGUGGGGCCUUCGACUGGGGUGAAGUCGUAACAAGGUAGCCGUAGGGGAACCUGUGGCUG